rnacentral:rRNA from 1 species
UCACUUUCAACAACGGAUCUCUUGGCUCUCGCAUCGAUGAAGAACGUAGCGAAGUGCGAUAAGUAAUGUGAAUUGCAAAUUCUGUGAAUCAUCGAAUCUUUGAACGCAAAUUCACUCUCUUCGGAGAGUAUGCCUGUUUGAGGAUCA